UUUCUAGGAUCGGUUUCUGGUCCUGUCGCUCAGCGAAGGGAGUAAACCACCUGGGACUGACCAGGGAAGGUCGAUUCCCUUUUUCAGUCCUUACCUGCACCCCCGAUCUGGAGACUGGUCCGAGUGCUUUAUGGGUCUGGCUGGCGGCCUGAUCCUCGGCGGCGGCAGCCUGAGAGAGCUAGGGGAGAAAGCGGAUAACCCUUGGUCCCUUGAUAGAUUGCUUCCUAUUAAAUUGUUCUGGGGUCCUCAAAGUUUGUUUUGCUGUCUCCUCAGAGCGUAGAGAGACUUCACAGGGAGACAAGGAUGACCCGGUCCUGCUCUCCACAAAAUGUGGUGUGGGAACAGAGCAACUUAAAAGAGGCCUUAGUGGACAGUGUUUGUGGUAGCAAAAGCAGCAGGAAUUAUGGGGUCACGCAUGAAGGCCUGGCAGUAGACCUUGGAGAACUAUCAAGUCCCAGACGGGGUGGGGCUUGACCACUCUUUUCCUCUGGAAGGCUUUGGGAAGGGAAGGUGUGAGUUGUAAGGAUCAGAUUCAUGCUUGAGAAAAAUUUGGUUACAGGGCAGAUACUUGGUAGCGGUUGGUUAGGAGAGGGCAGGGUAGUGCAGGCAGGAACGGUUGGGG
ensembl:antisense Gm12981 predicted gene 12981